ACAGACAGACAGAUAGAUAGAGUCCCUGGUACAGAAAGCUCAACAGAACUAUGUUUCCUCGCAGGCUUCUACAAAGAUCAAGUGUCCCAAAGGCACACGCUGCCAGACCCUCCUCCCUUCACCUACCAGCCGGCUCUGGCACAGCUGAGCAGAGCGGUCCCUCCAUGACGGUCUCUACCUGGUCCCCUCCUCCCUGGUAUCAUGGCAGACUUCCUGACCUGAGCACCCUGGGCUUUCUCUGCAAACACUUCCUUUGGUGAUUUUAUCCUGCCUUACAGCACCAAGACAACCAAGGCUGACUCAGACCUUCCAGCUCCAGUCUGGACCUCUUCCUGAAGCCCAGUUUCUGUAUCGGAUGGUCUACUCGGCACAUGUGACAUGCAUGCACACACUCCUGUUCUGGCAGGGGUGAUCUAAAACUGAAACCUUCUCACUCUUCAGUUACCGCCCUGCUCCCAGCUUCUUAGAAGAAAUGGAGAACAUACUGGAAAGGUGAAAGAGCACAUGGCUACGUAACAUGGCCACGUAAUAACACGUGACACGGAAACAUGCAUACAGCCCCCUGGCAGGAUGACGUGCCAUGAGAGAGGGCUUUUCUCGUCGCUGUCCUCUUGCAGCAAAUAAAAUGAAACCCAGCAAGCACAUAACCAUGAAGAGCUGAAACAGUAGGAUCCAGAUGCAGAACUCUCAGCUCCCUCUCCA